rnacentral:rRNA from 1 species
CAGGGAAUCUUGCACAAUGGGCGAAAGCCUGAUGCAGCGACGCCGCGUGGGGGAUGAAGGCCCUAGGGUCGUAAACCCCUUUCAGCAGGGACGAAAAUGACGGUACCUGCAGAAGAAGCCCCGGCCAACUACGUGCCAGCAGCCGCGGUAAGACGUAGGGGGCGAGCGUUGUCCGGAUUUAUUGGGCGUAAAGAGCUCGUAGGCGGUUGCGUAAGUCGGAUGUGAAAACUCAGGGCUCAACCCUGAGACGCCAUCCGAUACUGCGCUGACUCGAAUCCAGUAGGGGAGUGUGGAAUUCCUGGUGUAGCGGUGAAAUGCGCAGAUAUCAGGAGGAACACCCAUGGCGAAGGCAGCACUCUGGGCUGGUAUUGACGCUGAGGAGCGAAAGCAUGGGUAGCGAACAGG